UUUGACUUUAUGCCUUUAGGUUAAUGAUGUUUUAAUAGUAUUUAGAAGAAAUUAAAAUUUUAAUUUAAAAUAAUUAAAUUUUGUUAACAGAGUAUGCAUGCCUUUCUUGAUGAAGAACAUAAAUGUCCUUUAAAUUUUGAAAUUAAUAAAGAGGAGACAGAGAAUUUUGGUAUAUGUCAUGGAAUUUUCAGGCAUAACUUGCAAGAGUAUAAACACCAAGUUGAAGAGUUUCACGAUACCAUUCAAAACUUUCUGAGUAAAGUCAAGGAUGAACACAACAAGCUUGUGACACUGAAGAUGCAGUUAAAGAAGGUCUGUGGGGUAGAAAAUAUGAUGUUUGCAUUUAUUUUAUUAUCUACUAUUCUG
rnacentral:lncRNA from 1 species